rnacentral:rRNA from 1 species
GACGAACGCUGGCGGCGUGCUUAACACAUGCAAGUCGAACGAUGAACCCGGAGCUUGCUCUGGGGGAUUAGUGGCGAACGGGUGAGUAACACGUGAGUAACCUGCCCUGGACUCUGGGAUAAGCGUUGGAAACGACGUCUAAUACCGGAUAGGACCUUGGAUCGCAUGAUCUGGGGUGGAACGUUUUUUCGGUCUGGGAUGGACUCGCGGCCUAUCAGCUUGUUGGUGAGGUAAUGGCUCACCAAGGCGUCGACGGGUAGCCGGCCUGAGAGGGUGACCGGCCACACUGGGACUGAGACACGGCCCAGACUCCUACGGGAGGCAGCAGUGGGGAAUAUUGCACAAUGGGCGAAAGCCUGAUGCAGCAACGCCGCGUGCGGGAUGACGGCCUUCGGGUUGUAAACCGCUUUUAGUAGGGAAGAAGGGCUUCGGCUUGACGGUACCUGCAGAAAAAGGACCGGCUAACUACGUG